rnacentral:rRNA from 1 species
AGUGAACGCUGGCGGUAGGCCUAACACAUGCAAGUCGAACGGCAGCACAGUAAGAGCUUGCUCUUACGGGUGGCGAGUGGCGGACGGGUGAGGAAUACAUCGGAAUCUACUUUUUCGUGGGGGAUAACGUAGGGAAACUUACGCUAAUACCGCAUACGACCUACGGGUGAAAGCAGGGGAUCUUCGGACCUUGCGCGAUUGAAUGAGCCGAUGUCGGAUUAGCUAGUUGGCGGGGUAAAGGCCCACCAAGGCGACGAUCCGUAGCUGGUCUGAGAGGAUGAACAGCCACCAGGGAAAGAAAAAAAGGUCCAGAACCCAAGGGAGGGCAAGAGGGGGGAAGAUUGGAAAAGGGGGGAAAGCCGAAACAGGCCACACCGGGGGGGUGAAGAAGGCCUUGGGGUUGAAAAGCCCUUUUGUUGGGAAAAAAAAGCAGAAGGUUAAAACCCCGGUGUGCGGAGGGAACCAAAAAAAAAAACCCCGGUAAAUUUCGG